rnacentral:tRNA from 1 species
GCGCCCAUCGUCCAGUGGCCGAGGACAUCCGACUUUCUCUCGGGCAACGCCAGUUCGAAUCUGGCUGGGCGUA